rnacentral:rRNA from 1 species
GAUGAACGCUAGCGGCAGGCCUAAUACAUGCAAGUCGAACGGAUAUAUGUUUUUCGGAAUAUAUAUUAGUGGCGCACGGGUGAGUAACACGUACAUAACCUGCCCUCAAGCGGGGGAUAGCCUUGGGAAACUGAGAGUAAUACCCCAUAGAAUUAUUGGACGGCAUCGUUUGAUAAUUAAAACUACGGUGUUUGGGGAUAGAUGUGCGUCUGAUUAGCUAGUUGGUGAGGUAACUGCUCACCAAGGCGACGAUCAGUAGGGGGGCGUGAGAGCGUGGCCCCCCCACACGGGUACUGAGACACGGACCCGACUCCUACGGGAGGCAGCAGUAAGGAAUAUUGGUCAAUGGAGGGAACUCUGAACCAGCCAUGCCGCGUGAAGGAUGACGGCCCUCUGGGUUGUAAACUUCUUUUGUAUGGGGCGAAAAAAGGGAUUUAUCCUCGACUGACGGUACCAUAAGAAUAAGCACCGGCUAACUCCGUGCCAGCAGACGCGGUAAAGUAGUCGUGU